AUUGAACGCUGGCGGCAGGCCUAACACAUGCAAGUCGAGCGAGCGGCGGACGGGUGGGUAAUGUCUGGGAAACUGCCUGCUGGAGGGGGAUAACUACUGGAAACGGUAGCUAAUACCGCAUACCAUCAGAUGUGCCCAGAUGGGAUUAGCUAGUUGGUGGGGUAAUGGCUCACCUAGGCGAAGAUCCCUACCUGGUCUGAGAGGAGGACCAGCCACACUGGAACUGAGACACGGUCCAGACUCCUACGGGAGGCAGCAGUGGGGAAUAUUGCAAAAUGGGGGAAAGCCUGAUGCAGCCAUGCCGCGUGUGUGAAGAAGGCCUUCGGGUUGUAAAGCACUUUCAGCGGGGAGGCGUUACCCGCAGAAGAAGCACCGGCUAACUCCGUGCCAGCAGCCGCGGUAAUAC
rnacentral:rRNA from 1 species